ACACUCCUGCGGGAGGCAGCAGUGGGGAAUUUUGGACAAUGGGCGAAAGCCUGAUCCAGCAAUGCCGCGUGAGUGAAGAAGGCCUUCGGGUUGUAAAGCUCUUUUGUCAGGGAAGAAACGGUGAGAGCUAAUAUCUCUUGCUAAUGACGGUACCUGAAGAAUAAGCACCGGCUAACUACGUGCCAGCAGCCGCGGUAAUACGUAGGGUGCAAGCGUUAAUCGGAAUUACUGGGCGUAAAGCGUGCGCAGGCGGUUUUGUAAGUCUGAUGUGAAAUCCCCGGGCUCAACCUGGGAAUUGCAUUGGAGACUGCAAGGCUAGAAUCUGGCAGAGGGGGGUAGAAUUCCACGUGUAGCAGUGAAAUGCGUAGAUAUGUGGAGGAACACCGAUGGCGAAGGCAGCCCCCUGGGUCAAGAUUGACGCUCAUGCACGAAAGCGUGGGGAGCAAACAGGAUUAGAUACCCGAGUAGUCCCAU
rnacentral:rRNA from 1 species